rnacentral:tRNA from 1 species
CAGAAAAUAGUUUAAUAAAAAUAAUAAUUUUGGAGAUUAUUGAUAAUAAGAAUUUAUUUUUUCUGA